rnacentral:rRNA from 4 species
UUUUCAGAGAUGAGAAUGUGCCUUCGGGAACCGUGAGACAGGUGCUGCAUGGCUGUCGUCAGCUCGUGUUGUGAAAUGUUGGGUUAAGUCCCGCAACGAGCGCAACCCUUAUCCUUUGUUGCCAGCGGUUAGGCCGGGAACUCAAAGGAGACUGCCAGUGAUAAACUGGAGGAAGGUGGGGAUGACGUCAAGUCAUCAUGGCCCUUACGACCAGGGCUACACACGUGCUACAAUGGCGCAUACAAAGAGAAGCGACCU